rnacentral:tRNA from 1 species
GAGGGUAUAGCUCAGUGGUAGAGCACAUGGCUAGCAUACAGAAGGUCCUGGGUUCAAAACCCAAUACCUCCA